GCUUAACACAUGCAAGUCGAACGAAGCGCAUUGUUUGAAUUCUUCGGAAGGAAGAUAAUGUGACUGAGUGGCGGACGGGUGAGUAACGCGUGGGUAACCUGCCGUAUGCAGGGGGACAACAGCUGGAAACGGCUGCUAAUACCGCAUAAGCGCACAGUACUGCAUGGUACAGUGUGAAAAGUUCUGGCGGCAUACGAUGGACCCGCGUCUGAUUAGCUAGUUGGUGAGGUUAACGGGCCCCACCAAGGCGACGAUCAGUAGCCGGCCUGAGAGGGUGAACGGCCACAUUGGGACUGAGACACGGCCCAAACUCCUACGGGAGGCAGCAGUGGGGAAUAUUGGACAAUGGGGGAAACCCUGAUCCAGCGACGCCGCGUGAGUGAAGAAGUAUUUCGGUAUGUAAAGCUCUAUCAGCAGGGAAGAAAAUGACGGUACCUGACUAAGAAGCCCCGGCUAACUACGUG
rnacentral:rRNA from 1 species